GGGGGUGUUUCUGAGAAAGCAGACGCCUUGCAAGUGGCAGCAGGCCGGUUUGAUUCCGGCCGCCUCCACCA
rnacentral:tRNA from 1 species